UACGUAGGGUGCAAGCGUUAAUCGGAAUUACUGGGCGUAAAGCGUGCGCAGGCGGUUCGGAAAGAAGGAUGUGAAAUCCCAGGGCUUAACCUUGGAACUGCAUUUUUAACUACCGGGCUAGAGUGUGUCAGAGGGAGGUGGAAUUCCGCGUGUAGCAGUGAAAUGCGUAGAGAUGCGGAGGAACACCGAUGGCGAAGGCAGCCUCCUGGGAUAACACUGACGCUCAGGCACGAAAGCGUGGGGAGCAAACAGG
rnacentral:rRNA from 1 species